UACAGAGGGUGCGAGCGUUGUUCGGAUUCAUUGGGCGUAAAGGGUGCGUAGGUGGUGCCGUAAGUCAGGUGUGAAAUCCCGGGGCUCAACCCCGGAACUGCACUUGAUACUGCGGUGCUCGAGGACUGGAGAGGAGAUCGGAAUUCAUGGUGUAGCAGUGAAAUGCGUAGAUAUCAUGAGGAAGACCAGUGGCGAAGGCGGAUCUCUGGACAGUUCCUGACACUGAGGCCCGAAGGCCAGGGGAGCAAACGGG
rnacentral:rRNA from 1 species